CUGCCCGUAGCUCAACUGGAUAGAGCACCAACCUUCUAAGUUGGGGGUUACAGGUUCGAUUCCUGUCGGGCAGGCCA
rnacentral:tRNA from 2 species